UACGUAGGGUGCGAGCGUUGUCCGGAAUUAUUGGGCGUAAAGAGCGCGCAGGCGGUCGUUCAAGUCGAGUGUGAAAGCCCCCGGCUCAACUGGGGAGGGUCACUCGAUACUGAUCGACUUGAAGGCAGGAGAGGGAAGCGGAAUUCCCGGUGUAGUGGUGAAAUGCGUAGAUAUCGGGAGGAACACCAGUGGCGAAGGCGGCUUCCUGGCCUGUUCUUGACGCUGAGGCGCGAAAGCUAGGGGAGCAAACGGGG
rnacentral:rRNA from 1 species